rnacentral:tRNA from 1 species
AAAUAAGAAACAAAAAUUUUGUAAUUAGUUUCGACCUAAUCUUUGAUUUAAUUAAUCCUUAUUUA